AGGGAAGAAGGGCAUUUCUCUGGCCACUUUAUCUGCCAGAUCAAAGUCUUCAGUCAUGUUCAGAUGGACCAUCUCAGCCACGACGCACUGACGCACAUGCUUCAGCUCCAGAGGAAAGAAGGGCAUUUCUCUGGCCACUUUAUCUGCCAGAUCAAAGUCUUGGGCCAUGUUCAGAUGGACCAUCUCAGCCAUGACGCACUGACGCACAUGCUUCAACAUUAGAGAAAUUCAGAGCCAUGUCGACAAUCAAACUCCCACCUGCAUUACUACAAA